CCUACGGGAGGCAGCAGUGGGGAAUAUUGCACAAUGGGNGAAACCCUGAUGCAGCCAUGCCGCGUGUGUGAAGAAGGCCUUCGGGUUGUAAAGCACUUUCAGCGGGGAGGAAGGGUGNUGUGUUAAUAGCGCAGNACAUUGACGUUACCCGCAGAAGAAGCACCGGCUAACUCCGUGCCAGCAGCCGCGGUAAUA
rnacentral:rRNA from 1 species